CGCCUCCUAAAAGGUAACGGAGGCGCUCAAAGGUUCCCUCAGAAUGGUUGGAAAUCAUUCAUAGAGUGUAAAGGCAUAAGGGAGCUUGACUGCGAGACCUACAAGUCGAGCAGGGUCGAAAGACGGACUUAGUGAUCCGGUGGUUCCGCAUGGAAGGGCCAUCGCUCAACGGAUAAAAGCUACCCCGGGGAUAACAGGCUUAUCUCCCCCAAGAGUUCACAUCGACGGGGAGGUUUGGCACCUCGAUGUCGGCUCAUCGCAUCCUGGGGCUGUAGUCGGUCCCAAGGGUUGGGCUGUUCGCCCAUUAAAGCGGUACGCGAGCUGGGUUCAGAACGUCGUGAGACAGUUCGGUCCCUAUCCGUCGUGGGCGUAGGAAAUUUGAGAGGAGCUGUCCUUAGUACGAGAGGACCGGGAUGGACAUACCUCUGGUGUACCAGUUGUCGUGCCAACGGCAUAGCUGGGUAGCUAUGUGUGGACGGGAUAAGUGCUGAAAGCAUCUAAGCAUGAAGCCCCCCUCAAGAUGAGAUUUCCCAACUUCGGUUAUAAGAUCCCUCAAAGAUGAUGAGGUUAAUAGGUUCGAGGUGGAAGCAUGGUGACAUGUGGAGCUGACGAAUACUAAUCGAUCGAAGACUUAAUCAA
rnacentral:rRNA from 1 species